rnacentral:rRNA from 1 species
AGCAGUAGCCACGGUAAUACGUAGGUCCCGAGCGUUGUCCGGAUUUAUUGGGCGUAAAGCGCGCGCAGGCGGAUAGGUCAGUCUGUCUUAAAAGUUCGGGGCUUAACCCCGUGAUGGGAUGGGAACUGCUGAUCUAGAGUAUCGGAGAGGAAAGUGGAAUUCCUAGUGUAGCGGUGAAAUGCGUAGAUAUUAGGAAGAACACCAGUGGCGAAGGCGACUUUCUGGACGAAAACUGACGCUGAGGCGCGAAAGCCAGGGGAGCGAACGGGAUUAGAUACCCGCGUAGUCCCUGUCUCUUAUACC